rnacentral:rRNA from 1 species
UACAUGUGGGGCAAGCGUUGUUCGGAAUUACUGGGCAUAAAGGGUGCGUAGGUGGCUUGUUAAGUCAGGGGUGAAAGUUUUCGGCCCAACCGGAAAAUGGCCUUUGAUACUGGCGAGCUCGAGUGCGUGAGGGGUAACCGGAACGAGCAGUGUAGCGGUGAAAUUCGUAGAUAUUCGGAAGAACACCAGUGGCGAAGGCGGCUCACUGGCCCGAUACUGACGCUGAUGCACGAAAGCGUGGGGAGCAAACAGG